rnacentral:rRNA from 1 species
AUUGAACGCUGGCGGAAUGCUUUACACAUGCAAGUCGAACGGUAGAGGGGGCAACCCCUUGAGAGUGGCGAACGGGUGAGUAAUAUAUCGGAACGUGCCCAGUCGUGGGGAUAACGUAGCGAAAGUUACGCUAAUACCGCAUACGAUCUAAGGAUGAAAGCGGGGGACUCGGCAAGAGCCUCGCGCGAUUGGAGCGGCCGAUAUCAGAUUAGGCAGUUGGUGGGGUAAAGGCUCACCAAGCCAACGAUCCCCUAGCUGGUUUGAGAGGAUGAUCAGCCACACUGGAACUGAGACACGGUCCAGACUCCUACGGGAGGCAGCAGUGGGGAAUAUUGGACAAUGGGCGCAAGCCUGAUCCAGCCAUGCCGCGUGUGUGAAGAAGGCCUCGGUGUUAAG